rnacentral:rRNA from 1 species
UACGUAGGGUGCAAGCGUUAAUCGGAAUUACUGGGCGUAAAGCGUGCGCAGGCGGUUAUACAAGACAGAUGUGAAAGCCCCGAGCUCAACUUGGGAAUGGCAUUGGAAACUGGCGAGCUGGAGUGCGGCAGAGGGGGGUGGAAUUCCACGUGUAGCAGUGAAAUGCGUAGAGAUGUGGAGGAACACCGAUGGCGAAGGC